CUCCAGCUUCCCCCCUCCCCCGGGUUUGGGGGGGGACUGACUGGCGUUUCAGGCCUGACUGUGCUCUCCGUUGACCCCUGGCAAGCGACCUCACCGCUCCACGCCUGUUUCCUCAUUUGUCAAAUGGGACAGUAAUGCAGUAUCCCGGAUGGCCCCCGGACGCGGUGCAGACGGUGCCAGCUACAAAGGGCUCAGCCAACAAUACUUGAGCCGCUCAUGUUGAAACUGUCAGGCAUGGGGCGAUCUAGAAUAAUCCCUCCCAUUGCUGUCCCUGCUGAUGGGACACAAACCAAAAGCCCUGACUUGGCCACUCCGCGACACAAAGAAAGACCGUUCCCCACCCACGGGAACCCACCCUCAACGGCGACCCAGGGCCCCAGGGCCCCGCUGGGUCUGGCUCAGGUCCGCAACGCUACAGGACCCUGUUCUUGCCCUGUGUGGGGGUGUGGGGGCGGGAGGACGAGCAGCCCAGCACUGAGAACCUGGUCACCAAUCCCCCCCUGGGGAGCAGGAGCGCAGAAUGAGACACCUCCACCAACGGGAACGGAGGCCCUGCCUGGAACCGGCUGAUCAUCGCUCCCUCCCCACAUACACACAUCCACUCCAACCCCAGAGAAGAUGUGGGGGCCGAGGUUUUCUUUUAAAAAAAUCAAUAAACAACGUUGCAUUUCCGGUUUGCAAACGGGCUGCCGGCGGGGCCCGCGGGGAGGGAGACUGUGGGCGCGGGUGAAGUUUUUGUGCUCCGCCCAGAGGCCCCCCAUCCGGGCGCAAACACUCGGCGAGCGCCCGGUGACUCCUCCUCCCCAGAUGCGGCCAAUCGUGCGGCGCCAGGACGGCUCCCUCCGCCCCAACCGCCCCAGCAACCGGGGUCCCACCGCCCGCGCCGCCCGACCCGGUUGGGGGUCGGCGCCCCCUCCCCGCCCCGCGAGUCCCCCACUCGCGGCGCAUCCCACGGGCGAAAGCGAGGGGAAGCUGCCCCUGCACGCCGCAAGCGCUGCCCGACGUCCGCCCCAAAUCCCUCCCGCUGCUGCCACACCCGCCCCCUUCCCGGGGAUGAGUAACCUGCUCUCCCCAAACAGGCCGCGGCGGCCCGGGCAUUUCUUCGGGGCCUAGAGACCCAGCCCGAAGCCCCCUGCCGGCGGCCAGGAAGACCCUGCCAGAGGGGGUGGACGCGGGCGGCGGCCGCAAGAGGCCGACGUCCGUCCGCGCUCCCGGAGCCCGGGAGAGGACACCCCGCCACACUCCUCUGGGGGAUCCGGAGAAGCUGCCUACCUGCGACCCGCUCCGCUCCGCCAGCUGCUCGCCUCCGACUGCGAGAGCCGAGGAACUGGGGAGGGGGCGCGGUCCGCGGGGCGGGCCGGCUGAGGCCACGCCCCCACGAGCUCCAGCCAGUGGGGCGGCGGGUCCGAGCAAGCGGAAGGCCAGGGGGCGGGGCGCGCGGGGGCAGCCCCGACGGGACCUUUGUGUCCGCGCGCGGGACGCCCGGCUAGCGGGCGAGCGCGGCCCCACGCCCCGCGGGGGAGAUGCCGCCGGUGCUGCACGUAAGGUCGGAAACCCCCCUGAGGAGUGGAGGGCCCGUGCCGGUCCCUCCCCUAACCAGCCGCUGCAGGUCCGGCCCGAAGCUGACCCUCGCUCCAGAAUCCGGAAGGCCCGGGGCGCCUCCAUCUUGACGGAGAGAAAGAGCUCCAGGAACGUCGAGAAGGAGUGAAAAGAGAGGAGAGGAAACUGAGGCACAGAGAAGCGACACCUCCCUGUCCCCACCUCGUCACAGCACUUGCCAGCAAGAGGAGCCCCUAAAAGCCAGCCCAGCCCUGGACCGAUGCUCAGAAGACACCACAGCAAGAAGACAGCUGUCCACAAGCCAAGAGAGUCCUGCACCAGGAACCGAAUUGCUGGCACCUUGGUUUUGGACUUCCCAGCCUCCAGAACUCAGGUCGUCUCUCUCGGCACCUUCGUUUUUCAUCUGUGAAAUGGGCACGACGUCAGCACCUCUGUCAGCAAAGGCCGUCGUGUCGUAGAAGUCAGAGAAUUCAUGGAUGCUUAGGACACAGCCUGCUACACUACAGAGCUCAUGGGAAGAGCGUUUGGGGGCAGGAGCAGCGAGUGCAAAUGCCCAGGGGCAGGAAUAGAAUGGAACGCCGGCCUGCGGGAAGAAUCAGCCACCAAGCCUACAUUAAUUGAGCACCCUCUGCAUGCCGGGCGCUGGGGGAUGCAGCAAGCGUCAAAUCUCAAACAUCAGUACAUACAGGGUGCGGACAGGCUCCAGAGGACAUGCCCCCAGCCCUGCCUUGGAACAGAGAAGAGGUGGUGGUGAGCUGUCACCAGGUGAAGGCAAAAGGGACCAGGCACGUGGGCAGGAAUGCUGCACCGGAGCUUUCAAGACUCGGGGUGUGGGCGCCGCAGUUACCGCUGAGAAACAGUUGUAAUGCACAAAUCUGCUGUGCCCGUGAUGUGCGGGGCUCCUGUUAGGCCAUGCACCCCACCUACGUGCCCAGACAUCCGCCCCCUUCGAAGACGGCACGUUCACGGUUACCACACCUCACAGCGGACAUCCUGAAAGGUGCAGCUGCUUCAGGGGAGGAAGAUGUGCGGCCUGAGAGCACCCACCCAGUCUCGCCCAACUCCUGCUGGAGCCGCCCGACGUCUGGAAUAGCUGUGGCCAGCAGAUGGCGUUGUGGCCGCCCGG